rnacentral:piRNA from 1 species
AAUUGAAGAAGAUUUGGGACCUG